AUGGAUAACAACACAAAUAUAGGCAAAUAUUUGCUUAGGAAGACAUCUCGUUACCAUUUUCAUGGCUUUGCUUUGGAUCCGCUAAGAGAAGUGGGGAUGCUUGUGACCGGUCAAAAUGAGAAGAUUUUCAGAGAUCGUUAUGGGAAUUUGUUUCCAUUGUUGAAUGACGGGUAUGAGAAUGAAAUUCUAUUAUCCACAGCUGUGUUGUUUCACUUUCCAGGACUAUCAGCUAGCACCCACACUUGA
rnacentral:lncRNA from 1 species